AGCAAUCAAAAACGUGAUGAUCAUCUUCUUCAUGAAAGAAAAAUUUCAAAUGCCCAUAACUUUUUCGUUUCUCAUCGGAAUUGCGUGAUUCUUGCGGCCACGGAACGAGGAAAGAAUCCUCUACGGAUCUAUGGUUUCAAUUUGAGAUGUUUAAGAGCUUGGAUGGAGCAAUUUUAAUGGUGAAUCAUGAACAUACACCUUCGGUUUUGAGACUUCAACCAAGGGAUAGUAUGAUAUGAUUUGAAGAGUUAAGCUUCCGAAGUUUUAAUUCUCGGAAGUCAUUUGCACAAGAAGUAAAAGAAGGAUUUCAUUCUAGCGGUCCGCAGUAGUCUAGAUGUUUUUGUCUAUGUAUUUAUAUAACGCAUUUUGAACUCUGAUGUUUUUAUGUAAAAUGGGGUCACAUGUAUUUUGAUAUAUGAAAUAUGAUUUGAUUUGCGAAAAAUUUACACAAGAUUUUAGGCUUGCUACGGGUUUCGGAGCUACCACUCCCAUUCCCUAGCGCCGGUCGCGACUCAUAAAU